AUCUUUUUGUACUGGACUGAUUAUUGGAACUUCACUGUUUUUGAGGGAUGAAGUUUAACCCAGAGAUUUCCAGAGAUUUGAAUUUUCCAAGAAGUAGAUGCCUGUCUGAAAGAAAUAAACGUAUUUCUGGAAGAAAUAGCAUAUAUAAUUUUGAACAUGAAUAUCACAAGGUGGAGCGUGGUAAACCAGAAAAACCUGUGAAACUUGGACCAACACUCCAAAUGAUUGUAGCUUCCUCAAUAAACGGGUCAUGAGCACUCCAGGGACAAUCCUGCAGGAGAGGGUGGCACAGAGAAGACUGCAACUCCAUUGUGCAAUGGAAUUACCACUAUAGAAGAAGACAAUUCCCAUCCUGAAGAGUGAAAAUGAAUACAAAAAAACAUUUGAAUGAAAGGAAACCAUAGGACUUUGGAUUGAACUAACCCACUUGUCCAUCUGGAGAUAAAGAUAAAUUGAACUCAUCUACAUUCUGCAAACAAAAAGCUAAUAAAAUAUUUUGACAUUUAAGACUAAUUUCUACCCCACCCCUGAGCCCCUGUCAGGUGAAAAUUGAACUCUCUCCAGGCUGCAGAUCUUCUGUCAUUUGAAAAAAGCAACAACAUUUUGUUUCCCACUUCUCUCCUACAUGCCUAUUUAAAUAAUGCAUAAUGUAAUGUCUGACUUUUCCUGUCUGCCUGAGAACUUGCUG
ensembl:lncRNA